CCUACGGGUGGCAGCAGUGGGGAAUAUUGCACAAUGGGCGAGACCCUGAUGCAGCGACGCCGCGUGAGCGAUGAAGUAUCUCGGUAUUGAAAGCUCUAUCAGUAUGGGAGUAGAUGACUGUACCUGACGAAUAAGCUCCGGCUAAUUACGUUCCAGCAGCCGGGGUAAUGAGGAGGGGGCAAGGGUUAUCCGGAUUUACUGGGUGUAAAGGGGGCGUAGUCGGUGGUGCAAGGCAGAUGUGAAAGCCCGGGGGUCAAACCCCGUACUGCCUUUGGAACUGGAUGGCUGGAGUGUCCGAGAGGCAGGCGGAAUGCGUAGUGUAGCGGUGAAAUGCGUAGAUAUUAGGAGGAACACCAGUGGCGAAGGCAGCAUGCUGGACGACAACUGACGUUGAGGCUCGAAAGCGUGGGGAGCGAACAGGAUUAGAUACCCGAGUAGUC
rnacentral:rRNA from 1 species